GAUGAAGAACGCAGCGAAAUGCGAUAAGUAAUGCGAAUUGCAGAAUUCAGUGAGUCAUCGAAUCUUUGAACGCACAUUGCGCCCUGUGGUAUUCCGCAGGGCAUGCCUGUUCGAGUGUCAUUUCAACCCUCAAGCCUCGCUUGGUGUUGGGCCCUGCCCGCCGCGGCCGGCCCUAAAGAUAGUGGCGGCGCCGCCUGGCCCUCAGCGUAGUACAGCUCUCGCUCCAGGGUCCGGCGGCAGCCUGCCAGAACCCCCCAACUCUGUGGUUGACCUCGGAUCAGGUAGGGAUACCCGCUGAACUUAAGCAUAUCAAUAAGCGGAGGA
rnacentral:misc_RNA from 1 species